CAGCCGCCGCGGUAAUACGGAGGAUCCAAGCGUUAUCCGGAAUCAUUGGGUUUAAAGGGUCCGUAGGCGGUUUAAUAAGUCAGUGGUGAAAGCCCAUCGCUCAACGGUGGAACGGCCAUUGAUACUGUUAAACUUGAAUUAUUAGGAAGUAACUAGAAUAUGUAGUGUAGCGGUGAAAUGCUUAGAGAUUACAUGGAAUACCAAUUGCGAAGGCAGGUUACUACUAAUGGAUUGACGCUGAUGGACGAAAGCGUGGGUAGCGAACAGGAUUAGAUACCCUGGUAGUCCACGCCGUAAACGAUGGAUACUAGCUGUUGGGAGCAAUCUCAGUGGCUAAGCGAAAGUGAUAAGUAUCCCACCUGGGGAGUACGUUCGCAAGAAUGAAACUUAAAUGAAUUGACGG
rnacentral:rRNA from 1 species